rnacentral:rRNA from 1 species
UAGAUACCCUGGUAGUCCACGCAGUAAACGAUGAAUGUUAGUCGUCGGGAUGCAAGUCAUUUCGGUGAUGCAGUUAACACAUUAAACAUUCCGCCUGGGGAGUACGGUCGCAAGAUUAAAACUCAAAGGAAUAGACGGGGACCCGCACAAGUGGUGGAGCAUGUGGUUUAAUUCGAAGAUACGCGAAGAACCUUACCUAGCCUUGACAUUGAUAGAAUCUUCCAGAGAUGGAGGAGUGCCUUUCGGGGAACUUGAAAACAGGUGCUGCACGGCUGUCGUCAGCUCGUGUCGUGAGAUGUUGGGUUAAGUCCCGCAACGAGCGCAACCCUCGUCAUUAGUUACUAACAGUUCGGCUGAGGACUCUGAUGAGACUGCCUUCGUAAGGAGGAGGAAGGUGAGGACGACGUCAAGUCAUCAUGGCCCUUACGGCUAGGGCGACACACGUGCUACAAUGGUUAGGACAAUGAGAAGCGAUACCGCGAGGUGGAGCAAAUCUAUAAACCUAAUCUCAGUUCGGAUUGUAGUCUGCAACUCGACUACAUGAAGCUGGAAUCACUAGUAAUCGUAGAUCAGCCAUGCUACGGUGAAUACGUUCCCGGGUCUUGUACUCACCGCCCGUCACACCAUGGGAGUUGAUUUCACCCGAAGCGGGGAAGCUAAACUGGCUACCCUCCACGGUGGAAUUAGCGACUGGGGUGAAGUCGUAACAAGGUA